rnacentral:rRNA from 1 species
UUGUCCUACGGGAGGCAGCAGUGGGGAAUAUUGCACAAUGGGGGGAACCCUGAUGCAGCGACGCCGCGUGAGCGAAGAAGUAUUUCGGUAUGUAAAGCUCUAUCAGCAGGGAAGAAAAUGACGGUACCUGACUAAGAAGCCCCGGCUAACUACGUGCCAGCAGCCGCGGUAAUACGUAGGGGGCAAGCGUUAUCCGGAUUUACUGGGUGUAAAGGGAGCGCAGGCGGCGCGGUAAGUCUGAUGUGAAAGCCAGGGGCCCAACCCCGGAACUGCUCUGGAAACUGUGCG